ACUUUUCCAUAUGUGGUUCUGGCUGGAAGAAAGGGAAAAAAUGGAAACAAUGAAGAGGCCAAAGACUUUUUCAAUUCCAAAGCUUUCUAAAGUAAUUUCAGAAAUGUAGGCGAGAGUGACUGCGCAAAAGGGAACGAAGAGUCAUUUCAGUAACACAACGCAAGAGUUACGUGAGACACGCAGUGGAGACUAACCAGGAAAGCCAAAAAGAGCCGUCACCCCAGAUCCAUGCUCAUCCUGGAGACAGAGGUAAGAGACUGGCUUUCAAAGGAAGCUGAAGUUAUCAGCUGCCUCUUUCAGAGAGCUUUUCUCUUCCUUAGAGGAGAAGAUUUUCCUUGGGGCUGCUCAAUAGCUGGCCAGUACAUUUUCCUCUGCUCCUGCAGCAAGGCAAGGCUGAGUGCAGUGACUUUGCAUCCUCUGUGUCCCAUGAGGCAGCUGAACACUGGGGACAAACAUGCUGUUCCAAACCAGAAACAACCAAACAUUUCCAGUGGAAAUUUCACCUCAUAUAGUGAGUUCUGACCUAGCAAAACACACUGUG